AUCAGGUAGGACUACCCGCUGAACUUAAGCAUAUCAAUAAGCGGAGGAAAAGAAACUAACAAGGAUUCCCCUAGUAACUGCGAGUGAAGCGGGAAAAGCUCAAAUUUAAAAUCUGGUAGUCUCUGGCUGCCCGAGUUGUAAUCUGGAGAAGUGUUUUCUGUGCUGGGCCGUGUACAAGUCUCUUGGAAUAGAGCGUCAUAGAGGGUGAGAAUCCCGUCUUUGACACGGACAUCCAGUGCUCUGUGAUGCACUCUCAAAGAGUCGAGUUGUUUGGGAAUGCAGCUCAAAAUGGGUGGUAAAUUCCAUCUAAAGCUAAAUAUUGGCAAGAGACCGAUAGCGAACAAGUACCGUGAGGGAAAGAUGAAAAGAACUUUGGAAAGAGAGUUAAACAGUACGUGAAAUUGUUGAAAGGGAAACGCUUGAAGUCAGUCGCGUCUAGCAAGGAUCAGCCUUUCUCGGAAGGUGUAUUUCUUGCUUGACGGGUCAACAUCAAUUUUGAYUACUGGAAAAAGGCCAGAGGAAGGUGGCACCUUCGGGUGUGUUAUAGCCUUUGGUCAUAUACAGUAGUUGGGAUUGAGGAAUUCAGCAUGCCUUCAUGGCUGGGGUUCGCCCACAUUCAUGCUUAGGAUGUUGGC
rnacentral:rRNA from 1 species